CGUAACUAUAACGGUCCUAAGGUAGCGAAAUUCCUUGUCGGGUAAGUUCCGACCUGCACGAAUGGCGUAAUGAUGGCCAGGCUGUCUCCACCCGAGACUCAGUGAAAUUGAACUCGCUGUGAAGAUGCAGUGUACCCGCGGCAAGACGGAAAGACCCCGUGAACCUUUACUAUAGCUUGACACUGAACAUUGAGCCUUGAUGUGUAGGAUAGGUGGGAGGCUUAGAAGUGUGGACGCCAGUCUGCAUGGAGCCGACCUUGAAAUACCACCCUUUAAUGUUUGAUGUUCUAACGUUGACCCGUAAUCCGGGUUGCGGACAGUGUCUGGUGGGUAGUUUGACUGGGGCGGUCUCCUCCUAAAGAGUAACGGAGGAGCACGAAGGUUGGCUAAUCCUGGUCGGACAUCAGGAGGUUAGUGCAAUGGCAUAAGCCAGCUUGACUGCGAGCGUGACGGCGCGAGCAGGUGCGAAAGCAGGUCAUAGUGAUCCGGUGGUUCUGAAUGGAAGGGCCAUCGCUCAACGGAUAAAAGGUACUCCGGGGAUAACAGGCUGAUACCGCCCAAGAGUUCAUAUCGACGGCGGUGUUUGGCACCUCGAUGUCGGCUCAUCACAUCCUGGGGCUGAAGUAGGUCCCAAGGGUAUGGCUGUUCGCCAUUUAAAGUGGUACGCGAGCUGGGUUUAGAACGUCGUGAGACAGUUCGGUCCCUAUCUGCCGUGGGCGCUGGAGAACUGAGGGGGGCUGCUCCUAGUACGAGAGGACCGGAGUGGACGCAUCACUGGUGUUCGGGUUGUCAUGCCAAUGGCACUGCCCGGUAGCUAAAUGCGGAAGAGAUAAGUGCUGAAAGCAUCUAAGCACGAAACUUGCC
rnacentral:rRNA from 1 species